GGAGAGGUGGCCGAGUGGUCGAAGGCGCACGCCUGGAAAGUGUGUAGGCGCGCAAGCGUCUCCAGGGUUCGAAUCCCUGUCUCUCCGCCA
rnacentral:tRNA from 1 species